UAAUGAAUGACGUUGAUUACUGACCACAAGAAAAAAAAGAGAAGGUUGCUGUCUUCAUAUGAAACUGUAAAUGCUUGCUAAGGCUGAGACGAGGGGAAAAGGAUAAUUGGCUCUUCAGACUUUGCUCAUCUUUGCUCAUAGUGUAAUGGAUGAAGGGACAAAUUUCAGGUUUCCGUUUCGCCAUGGUACCAUUGCGUCUAUGUAGGUGCACUCGUCCAGAGGUGCUGGCUGUUUUGCAGUCUACGUCACCAAUCUCACAAGUGUUUCUAAAGCAACCAAGAGAUGUAUCAGAGCAUCUUGCUUCAGGUACCACCUUUCUCCAUUCCGUAGUCUGACAAUAAGUAAUAUAACUAACAUACCUGUACUUUUGGACCAAGGAAA